rnacentral:tRNA from 2 species
GCCUCUAUAGCUCAGUGGUAGAGCGCUUGACGUGAGAUCAAGAGGUCCGUGGUUCAAUCCCGCGUGGAGGCA